rnacentral:lncRNA from 1 species
GCACAAGUUCUUGGUGGCCUCAAUUCACGGUCUCUUCCUGUUGAUCAGCAGUGGGCAGAGACCACCUCCCUCAUUGCCGCUUUGGGUUUGGACCGCUUUAAACAGUAAAGUGACUGUCGACGGCUCAGUCUACAGGGAGGAGAACAAAAGACAGGGUCAGGGCUGGGCAGACUGGACAGGGUAAGAUUCUGGCUCCCCUCACUUGCUAGUUGGAGGAGUGGGGAGGCGAGUUAUUAGUGCCUUUGGGCCCUGACCUUAUAGCCCUUCGUAGGGUGGUGUGCGAAUGUCCAGUGUCCAGUGCUGAAUGCUGAGGGACCCAGUAAGAGGAGGUGGCUAGAACUGGAGGGACAGUUUCCCAGAAGCCUGGGCUUUGGGAUAGCAGAGCAGCAUAAGCCAGGCUCUAUGGAAUGUUGGGUGAGCUGCUUGAGGAACUCCAAGGCCUGUCCCACAGUCUUCCAGCCUCCGACUCUCCGGCCCUCAGCGAGGUCAGCAGUGAGCUACUUUUGGAUCUGUUGGGAUCCCUGAGCCCGUGGUCCAGGGAGACUCUGAACAGGGAGAUCUGAAGUCCCACUGGUUUUUUUGGUUGGUUUUUUUUUUUUUUUUUAAGGUUUUUUGGUUUUUUUUUUUUUUUCUCAUUCCUGUCUUGGGAGCUUUCCCCAACCAGAGAGAGUGAUCUUUCAGCAGACUGAUCGAACACACAGGCUUCUCAGCCCACUCCCUCCAGUCAAGGUUAAGGCCUGGCAAAGGUGGAGGAAGAGAAGCUGAGGAGAAAAAGGCGAGGAGAGCCUAGGCACAGGAAGGUGACCGUGAGUAGAGUUGGGUGGUCCAGGGAUGUGGCUGGGAUCCCCUCUUCCUUCUGGAGUUCUCUUAGACAGUAAGGCUGAAGAGAAGCUUGGUACAGGAACUUCGAAGGUUUCUCAAGCGCUUCCCUCCCUCCCAGUGCUGAUUUCCUGUGGACCAGAUUCCAGCACAGUGGAGGGCCAGAGCUCAGGGAACAGACCCAGCAGCACAGCAAGUCUCCAAGGAAAGCUCUAGCAGUCUCCAGGGGCUGAAGGCAGGACUGGAAC